GGCUGGUCUGAAGGUAGUGAGUUAUCUCACUUGAUUGUUCACAGUCAGUUAGAGACUGAACUCCUUGUUCUACAACUUUCCUGCUUCUCACUGCUGUACUUGACUAGUCUAAU
rnacentral:Y_RNA from 1 species